rnacentral:rRNA from 1 species
GUAUACCUGUUUCUCAAAUUGGUGUUGGUUCUACCGGUUGCCACACCUAAUGUUGAAAGGGUAUUUUCCCCGAUGAAGCUACUGAAGAACAAGUUGAGAAAUGGUAUGGGUGGUCAAUUAUUAAAUGAUUGUUUGGUCACGUAUAUUGAGUGA